GAGCUAAAGUGAAGCUUAAGUUUGGAUUAAUCAUUAUCUAAGACGUUGUGCAGGAGUAGUAGCUUGGUGAGUUCCUGAUGUUGGUGGAUAGUGGGAGCUUUCUCCACUAUCGGGUCUUAGAGUAGAGUUGGCUCUGAUCUAGGGUUUUGUUGUUAGCUCUAGAUCUUGUUGAAUUAUUUUUAUAUUUUGAGAUUUUGUCCAUGUGUCGGACUUGGAGAUUUCAUGCUUAUGUAUUUUGAGAUUACAUGACAUGUAUGGUUGAUGUAUAAUAAUUUGUAUCCGCUGUGACUGAUGAGUUUUUUUAUACAUGCAUGUUAGUUUCUGAUCUUUGGUUUU